AACUCGCCAGUGGCCGCAGGGACCCGCAGGAAGCUGGCCGACGGGAGCGGGAAGAGACCAGCCGAGCCCUCGCAUCAGCCAUCCCCUUGGGCAUGUGCGCCGUUGGGAAGGUGUUUGUUCAGCAGAACUGUGUGGGAAGCGAUGCUAGCUAAGCCUGUGCAAAGACAGAAACUCAUUAGAACUACUGAAAGCACAGCAAGAAGUCACUUUGUGGAUUGAUUUGGCAAAACAAGCCAAGGACUGACAAAUACCUUAACAACGUCGAAAGUAGCCUAUUUUAAGAGGAAAUAUGCAGAAGAAGAAGAUUUACAUCAAGAUUACCCAGGGUAUUUUCCAAAACACCUGAUAUUACCUGAAGAUCGGACCUGUAUUUUGAAACUUUCUCUGCAGAAGCUCCAGUUUCUUGAAGAUCCUGAGCUCUAUCUCCGCCGCUCAGUGCUGAUUAACAACUUGUUGCGGAAGAUUCACCUGGAAACUGAGCGUGAACGCUAUGAGUAUCUUAAGGAAAGCCCAUGCUAUAGGACUGCCUAUUCGGAUACAAGAAAACGGCUGAAGUUCAUGGUACAAGAAUGCCGUUCUCAGUCCCUUUAUUACAAAGAACUGCAUUCGUAUCAUAUUGUGCCUUAUUCUCCGGAGAAUGCCAUUUAUGGAGUGGGCUAUUCAAGUGGCCACUUGGAGCAAAAUUCUCAACUGCUUAUUUAUAAAAUGAAAUGAGUGGGGUGUUUUUGUUUGUUUUUAAGAAAGACAUGUGGAUCGUUUUGUUUCUGGAUCCCUGAAUGGCUUAUUACCAUGCUAAAGUGAUGCAUUGAUGUGCAAACGUGGGAGAGAUCAAAGGUGCAAGUCACCUUCAGCUAUAUUGCAGAAUGCUCCGUGGUAGCAUUUAGGACUUGAGGCUGCUUGGCUGCACAGCGAUGGUGCCCGUAUCAAAACAGGGCAAUCCAGGAUUUCUAAUAAGCCAUGAGCCCUGGUGUGAAGCGCUUAUUGGCUGUUCAGUUUUCUAUAUGUAUAUAUUUAGACUAACUUUAACUGCUAAGUUAUGCCACCUUUCCUUAGAAAUGUAGACUGACAAUAAGAGAGUAAUAUGCUGGCUGGGCUGAAGUGAGGGUUUGGGGGCGGAUAGCUACUUCUCAGAAAGGUCUAAAAGACUCAUAGUCAUUAAAAAUACUGAUUCAUUUACAUCACCCCUCUUUUUGAAUAUUCAGCAGCAUUAACCAUCUAUGCUUAAUCCUUUAUUUGCUAGCAUGCUUGAUUUCUGUUUCAGUCAGUACUGAUUUUAUUAAAAUUCAAUGAUAUCGAGAUCUGGAAAUGGAUAAUUGGGGGUGAGAGAGGGAGCCACAUUCUUUUGCUUCUUAAACUUGGCCAGAAUCCUCUUUCUGAAUUGCUGUUAUAUUGAUCUGGCUCUAGAAAUGCAGGAUGCCUAUUAUAAGAGUGGGAACAGCAUUUUUUUUUUAAACUAGGACCCCGAUGUAAUUGUAAGAAAGAUUUCUGAUCCAGCACCCACA